AUUGAACGCUGGCGGCAUGCUUUACACAUGCAAGUCGAACGGUAACAGGCCGCAAGGUGCUGACGAGUGGCGAACGGGUGAGUAAUGCAUCGGAACGUGCCCAGUCGUGGGGGAUAACGCAGCGAAAGCUGCGCUAAUACCGCAUACGAUCUAUGGAUGAAAGCGGGGGACCGUAAGGCCUCGCGCGAUUGGAGCGGCCGAUGUCAGAUUAGGUAGUUGGUGAGGUAAAGGCUCACCAAGCCAACGAUCUGUAGCUGGUCUGAGAGGACGACCAGCCACACUGGGACUGAGACACAGCCCAGACUCCUACGGGAGGCAGCAGUGGGGAAUUUUGGACAAUGGGCGCAAGCCUGAUCCAGCAAUGCCGCGUGCAGGAAGAAGGCCUUCGGGUUGUAAACUGCUUUUGUACGGAACGAAACGGUCCGGAUUAAUACCCUGGGCUAAUGACGGUACCGUAAGAAUAAGCACCGGCUAACUACGUGCCAGCCGCCGCGGUAACAC
rnacentral:rRNA from 1 species